rnacentral:rRNA from 1 species
UACGUAGGGAGCGAGCGUUGUCCGGAAUUACUGGGUGUAAAGGGAGCGUAGGCGGGACGGCAAGUCAGAUGUGAAAACUAUGGGCUCAACCCAUGAACUGCUUUCAAAACUGUUUUUCUUGAGUAGUGCAGAGGUAGGCGGAAUUCCCGGUGUAGCGGUGGAAUGCGUAGAUAUCACGAAGAACCCCGAUUGCGAAGGCAGCCUGCUAAGCCGCCACUGACGUUGAGGCUCGAAAGUGCGGGUAUCAAACAGG